AUGGCGGGUGCUCUAUGGGACACCAUGAGGGAGUCUUGGCCUAUACCUGCCCGGGAGGAGAUUCAGUACACCGGGACGGAGUGGCUCCUGCACCUUCUCGCCAGCUGCGACGAAACCCAGCGGAUGGUCAUCUUGAUGAUAUUCUGGCGCGCAUGGCAUUGCCGGAAUGAGAUCAGGCAUCACAAGCCUGCACCACCAGUACAUGUGUCAACACGCUUCCUCAACGGCUACAUCAAAUCUCUUCUAUGUAUCAAACAACACCCCAAGGGAGAUAUAGUGAAGGGCAAGAUGGUGAUUCAGCAAGUAACUCAUCGACCCAAGGCCAUGAAGCAAGCAGAAACAAUUGUGGCUCGAUGGGAGAAGCCCCCGGCUGGCUGGGCAAAGCUAAACGUGGAUGGUUCCUUCAUCCAUGGCAAGACCACGGGAGGGGCCGGAAUGGCGCUGAGAGAUGACACAGGAGCAAUCAUCUUCUCAUCUUGCCGUUACCUCCUUACCGAUAGAAGCGGAGCCGACAGCUUGCCUUGA
rnacentral:rRNA from 1 species